AAGGCUGUACUUUCAAGGGUCACAUCCAUAGUUCGUUACUAGAGAAGUUUCUCUGACUGUGUAAAGCACCGGAAACCACGCUGAGGAGGCGCAGCGCUCUCUCCUGAGCGUGAAGCCGCUCUUGAUGUUGCUCAGCUGCAUCUGCCACUUGCCACUGAUGAUGGUUCUGCUCUCGUUCGGGAAGGCUGGAGGGAGAGGGUGCAGUCUGAGUGGA
ensembl:snoRNA U3 Small nucleolar RNA U3